AAGAAGUUAACUGCAGGGCAAGGAGCCCCCACCCAGGACCCAGCAGGACCCCGCGGGCGCGGGGGUAGACGCCCCGCCUUGGGCGGAGGUCCUCCCCUCCAGUUUUCUCGGCCCUGGUGGGACCCUUUGUCCCACAAGCUUCCCGCUGGACCUAUGGCUCCAGCAGGUCAAGAUCCAGAGCAGAAGGUGGAGAGCACUUGAAUGGAGCCCCUUAUCUCUCUCCCAGCCUGGUGAUUGCUGUCGGAGCAGGGAUGUUGGGGCUGCACAGCACAGGAACUCGACACCUGGAGGAAAGCCAGCCUGGUCCCAGCUCUUCUCAGCCUCCAGGCACUGCCCCUCACCACUCUGGGUAGGGGUCUGUUCAGGAUUCCAGAACAUUGGACAAGGUGCUCAGGCUCAUCUGGCUUCCACAGCUGCUUGUGCAGCCCAGCGCUGGAGGACCACCGGCUCCAGGGAUGGAAAGGGAAGUACAUCAUCUGUGGUCCGAAUAGCUCUGCAGGCUGACUGA
rnacentral:lncRNA from 1 species